UUAUUUUAUUUUAAACAAAAUGGUGUCAUUUUGCUCCCUGUCUUCUAUCCCUUAUUUUUCUCCUAAACCAUAACCCCAAAAUCCCUUAUUUUAUCCCUAAAUCCCAAAUCUCUUAUUUUUUCCCCGUAAAAAUUGGAAUCCCAAAAUUAAAAACCCCAAAUCAAAAUCCCCAAAUCGAAAUCUCAAAAUCCCUUUGAUUUUCGCCGACCGUCUACUAAAUCGUCGUUCACUGUCUCCUCUGCUGCAUCGCCGUCGACUCUCCUUUAUCGUAUCGCCAUCACACUCUUCUAUCGCACUGCCGUGUGCCCAAGGGCCUCAAGUGCAGAAUUUGCUAGAGCGGCUUACUGGUCAACACACUGUCCCAAAUGUUUUUAUUUGGGGUAAACACAUCGGUGGUUGUAUAGGCGUAAUUUUAUCCUUAAAAAUGUUAUAGAAAAAGUUUUGUUAUUGACUCGGAGAAAGGAGAAAUACUUAGUAGUUGCUGCAGUUCGCUUUGUUCGCACGAUUCUCGCUCGUCAUGGUGUUAUGCUAGCUCGAGUUAGAGAUCACCGAAGAUGCUAUCACACUAUCAAGCUAUCAUGUUGAGUACAAGUGAAUGCAAACCCUUUUGAGUUUAUGGCAUGUAUAAGGACUUAGUCAUUUGGUGUAUGAGUCAUUAUGAUUUGGCUAAAUACAUUAGCUUGUGAUGGUUAAAGGUUGGAUGUAAUUUGUAGCCAUGCAAAUUGGCUUAUAUUAGCUAAAUGGCUGUAAGCCCAUAUAAGUGUGUAUGUGCAUAUGUCAAUGUUUUUUGAUGUGGUUUGUAUUUGCUUGAUAUUUGUUAGUUAUGAGUUUAUUCAUAUGUUAAUGCCCUUUGAGUUUGAAUUUAA